CCUCUCCCUAGAAGUGUUGUAGGUGUGUCUGCUGUGUCACAUGUGUUUCAGUAUAUAGCAUAGAGGAUAGAGGCUAUGUCUACAACGUGUUUGAAUGUAUGAACAUCUGAAUGAUUAGUAUCCUAACAUU